GAGACAAAACUGGGUCAUUUACUGUUCUGGUAAAGUUCUCAGAAUGUUCUACAUAUUCUGAAACUGUGCAAAUACAUCUAAACAAUGCAGAGAGAGAGAACAUAGAUAAAUAAUAGAAAAGUUUAAUUAUAAAGUAUUAAUAAAUACACAAUGAGAAACAAUAAGUUGGCUUUAUACACAAAAGAACAGAGUCGAUGUGUAGGGAUAUGAGGUAAUAACAUGAGGUAAUAACAUGCUUUAUACACAGGAUAAAAGAACAGAGUCGAUGUGUAGGGAUAUGAGGUAAUAACAUGAGGUAAUAACAUGAGGUAAUAACAUGCUUUAUACACAGGAUAAAAGAACAGAGUCGAUGUGUAGGGAUAUGAGGUAAUAACAUGAGGUAAUAACAUGCUUUAUACACAGGAUAAAAGAACAGAGUCGAUGUGUAGGGAUAUGAGGUAAUAACAUGAGGUAAUAACAUGCUUUAUACACAGGAUAAAAGAACAGAGUCGAUGUGUAGGGAUAUGAGGUAAUAACAUGAGGUAAUAACAUGCUUUAUACACAGGAUAAAAGAACAGAGUCGAUGUGAAGGGGAUCGAGGUAUUUGAGGUAGAUAUGUAUAUAUUGGCAGGGAUAGAGUGACUAGACAACAGGAUAGAUAAUAAACAGUAGCAGCAGUAUACUGUAGGUAGGGAUAGAGUGACUAGACAACAGGAUAGAUAAUAAACAGUAGCAGCAGUAUACUGUAGGUAGGGAUAGAGUGACUAGACAACAGGAUAGAUAAUAAACAGUAGCAGCAGUAUACUGUAGGUAGGGAUAGAGUGACUAGACAACAGGAUAGAUAAUAAACAGUAGCAGCAGUAUA